rnacentral:lncRNA from 1 species
ACAGUGUUCCGAGAUGACACUGUUCAUAUGAACAGUGGUCCGUGAAAACACUGUUCAAAUGAACAGUGUUACGAAGACCAAAACCCAUCUCACUAUUCAUCUUCUUCCUCCCGUAAUCAUCACGGCCAUUCGUCUUCAUCCAGGAUCCAGCUCCUCCGCCAUCAGCCCAUUCCAGCGCAUCCCCUCCUCCCCCAAACUUCCAAAA